GCAGUCGAACGGUAACAGAACUAGCUUGCUAGUUGCUGACGAGUGGCGGACGGGUGAGUAAUACUUAGGGAUCUGCCUCUGUGUGGGGGAUAACUAUUGGAAACGAUAGCUAAUACCGCAUAACGUCUACGGACCAAAGAGGGCUUCGGCUCUCGCGCAGAGAGGAACCUAAGCGAGAUUAGCUUGUUGGUGAGGUAAAGGCUCACCAAGGCGACGAUCUCUAGCUGUUCUGAGAGGAAGAUCAGCCACACUGGAACUGAGACACGGUCCAGACUCCUACGGGAGGCAGCAGUGGGGAAUAUUGCACAAUGGGGGCAACCCUGAUGCAGCCAUGCCGCGUGUGUGAAGAAGGCCUUCGGGUUGUAAAGCACUUUCAGUUGUGAGGAAAGGUUAGUAGUUAAUACCUGCUAGCUGUGACGUUAACAACAGAAGAAGCACCGGCUAACUCCGUGCCAGCAGCCGCGGUAAUACGGAGGGUGCGAGCG
rnacentral:rRNA from 1 species